rnacentral:rRNA from 1 species
CUUGAGUUAAAAAUAAGAGGUCCAGCCUGCCCAGUGACUAAUGUUCAACGGCCGCGGUAUCCUAACCGUGCGAAGGUAGCGUAAUCACUUGUUCUUUAAAUGUGGACUAGUAUGAACGGCAUCACGAGGGUUACACUGUCUCCUUUCUCUAAUCAGUGAAACUAAUCUCCCCGUGAAGAAGCGGGGAUAUAACUAUAAGACGAGAAGACCCUAUGGAGCUUCAAAGUUCUCUUCAAACGCCAAAACUCUACCAAGUCAAAGACUCCUGCACAAAAUUACGCGCCAUGAAGACAACUUUUAGGUUGGGGUGACCAUGGAGUAUAAAACAACCUCCACGCUGAACAGGCCUCUAAACCUCGAGCAAAGGACCACAACCCUCCGCACUAAAAAAUUAACACACAUUGAUCCAAUGAAUUUUGAUCAACGAAC